AUCGCUUCUCAGCCUUUUGGCUAAGAUCAAGUGUAGUAUCUUAUAUAUUUAUUGUUAUAUAUUUGAAUAUAUAUUUGUUAAAAGUAUAUAUUUGUAAGAAUAUACAUUUGGCUAUGCAAAUUUGUUAAAUAAAUUUAGCAAGGUCACCCAAAGCGUAAAGGUCAUCCCAGCUGCCUUGCUAAAGCAAAU
rnacentral:snRNA from 1 species